ACUUUAGGAUAUUUCUCUCCUAGUUGUCAUCAGUAAUAAAACACAGCUGUUUUUCUGUUACCAUAAUUUGGUUGCUUCUGUUUAGCUUCUGCUCUGGCUUCUACCUCCCAAUAAUUACAAUCACAAAACCAGUAACAUACAGUCCAUUUUUCCAAUUCAACCAAGUCACAACAUUUUGCCUACUGUUUGAUCAUUUCCCAUUCUACUUACAUGAUUUCAGGAAGAGGUUAGCCCCUGAAUAUCAAAAACCCACACAGCACUGAAAAGGUAAAUCCCCUGUGUUCUUCGUUCCAGCACUCUGUGUCCAGUGGGAGCAGUCUGCUUUCUCUUUCACUGCUGUACGUUAGCAGAUACAGCUUAAAUAAUGUAAAAAUGAAGUCAGACCAAUGAAAUCUUAAAAAAAUAGGUCCAGGGGAGAGGAUUACUUGUUGGCUUUUAUACCUUUUGAAACUCUGUAAAUUAGGGGGAAAUAUGCAUAGGUUGAUAAUUUGUAACUGUAGCCUUACAUAACAUGAAGGAAAUACUACUCAUUCUGUUCAAAGUGAUUAUGGGAAGGGAAGUCCUGCACAGAGAAGAAUGGAUGACAAACUAAUUAAAAUAAGAAUUAUUUAUUCAUCUAGCCAGCAUAAAGGAGGCAGUAAAACAGAUGACCAAAAGAGUGCCGGACUGCAAAAGAAGACAGUGGAAAAGGUGGUGUUCCUGCAACAGAGCCUGGCUGAAAAUGGUGACAGAAAAGCAGGCUUCCAAAACAGAGACAGAACAAAAGAAUUUCUUACACAAAAUCACAUCAUUCAUUUCCUCUGUCCGGACAUAAUUAAAAGAAAAAAACUUCCUUGAGAGUUAAUGUCAAAGCACAGGCAAUGAAGAUGCCCGUUGCUUUAAUAAACAAAGGUAUAAGCUUGCUCUGCUGCACAAACGAAUGCUAUUUAUACAGAGUUCUGUGACUUAAGGACUUUGAAUGUCUUAUGUGAUAACAUACAAUUAUGUUUUAUUUUUUAAAGGUUACUAAUUCAGAGUCUUACUUUUGUGAGUGUAUGAUUCCUGAAAAGAGCAAGUAGCUGUUCUCUUUCCUGUAAGUCUGCAAGUCCCAACUUUACCAGCAUGACGUGCAGAAUUACAAAUGUCCUUGUAUAGAUUAUCUCAGAAUUUCUGGUGUGGAAACAUUUUAUUUUUUCAACUGUGCUUGAUACAAAGAUGGCUUUUAUGACCUAAAGCAAAUAGUGGGUAUCAGAAAUAAAUUAGAUUUGUCUGCCUCCUA